UUUAAGAGUUUGAUCCUGGCUCAGGAUGAACGCUGGCGGCGUGCCUUAGGCAUGCAAGUCGAACGGCCGGAGAUCAGAAACCGGAAGUCGGAUGCCGGAAUUCAGAAAUCGGAUUUGCUAUAGUUGUGUGUAUGGAGGUAAGUAAAUUAAGGGUUUACAGACAAUGUCUGCAAGCUUUUCAGAUGGUUGAAGAUAUUGCUAAGGAUUUACCCCCAGAGCUAUUUGACACAAAAAGACAAAUAUUGCGCAGUUCAAAAGCUAUUGCGCCAAUAAUUGCCGAAGGUUUUGGCAGAAAAAGAUCUCAACGCGAGUUCUAUAAAUACGUUAUAGAUGCUAUGAGUUCUUCUGAUGAAACCAUUACACAUUUACGUACUAUUGCAAUGUCCAAAUUUAAUACAAUUCCGAUUGAGAAAUUGAAGAAAACUGCAGAAGUGUACAAGUCUAUUUCUAGACAGCUUAAUAAAUUAUCUUCAACUAUUAAAUCGUGGUAUCUGAUCUCCGGCAGUGGCGGAAGGGUGAGUAACGCGUGGGAACGUACCUUUUGGUGGAGCAUAGCCUUCCGAAAGGAGGGGUAAUACUGCAUAAUCCCAAGGCUUCGCCUUGUGAAAUUCGAAGCACGAAUAUCGAGACUCGAAACAAAUCACGAUGUUCAAAUUUUCAAAAUCCAAAACGUUUUGAUCAUUUGGAUUUUAGGAUUUAAGUAUUGUUUCGGAUUUCGGAUUUAGAAUUUAGAACACGGUCCCUACACCUACGGGUGGCAGCAACUAGGAAUUUUGGACAAUGGGCGAAAGCCUGAUCCAGCGACGCCGCGUGGGGGAAGAACCCGCCUGGGGAGUACGGCCGCAAGGCUAAAACUCAAAGGAAUUGACGGGGACCCGCACAAGCGGUGGAGCAUG
rnacentral:rRNA from 1 species